UACGAAGGGGACUAGCGUUGUUCGGAAUCACUGGGCGUAAAGCGCACGUAGGCGGAUUCGUAAGUCAGGGGUGAAAUCCCGGGGCUCAACCUCGGAACUGCCUUUGAUACUGCGGGUCUUGAGUCCGAUAGAGGUGGGUGGAAUUCCUAGGGUAGAGGUGAAAUUCGUAGAUAUUAGGAAGAACACCGGUGGCGAAGGCGGCCCACUGGAUCGGUACUGACGCUGAGGUGCGAAAGCGUGGGGAGCAAACAGG
rnacentral:rRNA from 1 species